AGUGAACGCUGGCGGUAGGCCUAACACAUGCAAGUCGAACGGCAGCACAGUAAGAGCUUGCUCUUACGGGUGGCGAGUGGCGGACGGGUGAGGAAUACAUCGGAAUCUACUUUUUCGUGGGGGAUAACGUAGGGAAACUUACGCUAAUACCGCAUACGACCUACGGGUGAAAGCAGGGGAUCUUCGGACCUUGCGCGAUUGAAUGAGCCGAUGUCGGAUUAGCUAGUUGGCGGGGUAAAGGCCCACCAAGGCGACGAUCCGUAGCUGGUCUGAGAGGAUGAUCAGCCACACUGGGACUGAGACACGGUCCAGACCCCUACGGCAGGAAGCAGUGGGGAAUAUUGGACAAUGGGCGCAAGCCUGAUCCAGCCAUCCCGCGUGGGUGAAGAAGGCCUUCGGGUUGUAAAGCCCUUUUGUUGGGAAAGAAAAGAAGCAGGUUAAUACCCCGCUGUUCUGACGGUACCCAAAGAAUAAGCACCGGCUAACUUCGUG
rnacentral:rRNA from 1 species